UACGAAGGGUGCAAGCGUUACUCGGAAUUACUGGGCGUAAAGCGUGCGUAGGUGGUUCGUUAAGUCUGAUGUGAAAGCCCUGGGCUCAACCUGGGAAUUGCAUUGGAUACUGGCGAGCUAGAGUGCGGUAGAGGAUGGCGGAAUUCCCGGUGUAGCAGUGAAAUGCGUAGAGAUCGGGAGGAACAUCUGUGGCGAAGGCGGCCAUCUGGACCAGCACUGACACUGAGGCACGAAAGCGUGGGGAGCAAACAGG
rnacentral:rRNA from 2 species